UACGUAGGGGGCUAGCGUUGUCCGGAAUCAUUGGGCGUAAAGAGCGCGUAGGCGGCCCGGUAAGUCUGCUGUAAAAGUCAAAGGCUUAACCUUUGAAAGUCAGUGGAUACUGCCGGGCUAGAGUCCGGAAGAGGCGAGUGGAACUCCUGGUGUAGCGGUGGAAUGCGCAGAUAUCAGGAAGAACACCGACGGCGAAGGCAGCUCGCUGGGACGGAACUGACGCUGAGGCGCGAAAGCGUGGGGAGCAAACAGG
rnacentral:rRNA from 1 species